GUGGGGAAUCUUGCGCAAUGGGCGAAAGCCUGACGCAGCCAUGCCGCGUGAAUGAUGAAGGUCUUAGGAUUGUAAAAUUCUUUCACCGGGGACGAUAAUGACGGUACCCGGAGAAGAAGCCCCGGCUAACUUCGUGCCAGCAGCCGCGGUAAUACGAAGGGGGCUAGCGUUGCUCGGAAUUACUGGGCGUAAAGGGCGCGUAGGCGGACAGUUUAGUCAGAGGUGAAAGCCCAGGGCUCAACCUUGGAAUUGCCGUUGAUACUGGCUGUCUUGAGUACGGGAGAGGUGAGUGGAACUCCGAGUGUAGAGGUGAAAUUCGUAGAUAUUCGGAAGAACACCAGUGGCGAAGGCGACUCACUGGCCCGUUACUGACGCUGAGGCGCGAAAGCGUGGGGAGCAAACAGGAUUAGAAACCCCUGUAGUCC
rnacentral:rRNA from 1 species